UGCACGCACGUGCGAUAAGGGGACUCCGAGUGCGAGGGCAUAUCGUCCUCGCUUUCGUGUACCGUAGGGUGGUACACCAACAAGGGCUGGGCAAGACCGGUGCCAGCCGCCGCGGUAAUACCGGCAGCCCGAGUGAUGGCCGAUCUUAUUGGGCCUAAAGCGUCCGUAGCUGGCUGCGCAAGUCCGUCGGGAAAUCCACUCGCCCAACGAGUGGGCGUCCGACGGAAACUGCACAGCUUGGGACCGGAAGGCUCGAAGGGUACGUUCGGGGUAGGAGUGAAAUCCCAUAAUCCCGCACGGACCACCGAUGGCGAAAGCACUUCGAGAAAACGGAUCCGACAGUGAGGGACGAAAGCCAGGGUCUCCAACCGGAUUAGAUACCCUUGUAGUCCGGUCAUACUGAUUUCCUGAAUGUCCUGUUCCUCCC
rnacentral:rRNA from 1 species